GAUGAACGCUGGCGGCGUGCCUUAUACAUGCAAGUCGAGUGGGUUUAGACCCACGGCACACGGGUGAGUAACACGUAGGUACUUUCCUUGUCACAGGAAUAACCCUCCGAAAGGAGGGCUAAUACCUGAUGUGAUCGCAAGAUUAAAGGGUAUCCGCAAGGAUUACCGGACAAGAAGAGGCCUGCGGCCUAUCAGCUAGUUGGCGGGGUAAAUGCCCACCAAGGCUAUGACGGGUAGCUGGUCUUAUGAGGAUGAUCAGUCACAUGGGCACUGAGACACGGGCCCGACUCCUACGGGAGGCAGCAGUAGGGAAUUUUGCGCAAUGGGCGAAAGCCUGACGCAGCGACGGCGCGUGCGGGAUGAAGGCCUUCGGGUCGUAAACCGCUUUUAUAAGGGACGAACUUUGACGGUACCUUAUGAAUAAGAGGUUGCUAACUCUGUG
rnacentral:rRNA from 1 species